UACGGAGGGGGCGAGCGUUAUUCGGAAUUAUUGGGCGUAAAGGGCGCGUAGGCGGCUCGAUAAGUCAAAGGUGAAAUCCCUCGGCUCAACUGAGGAACUGCCUUUGAAACUGUCGAGCUUGAGUCCGGGAGGGGUAACGGAAUUCCCAGUGUAGCGGUGAAAUGCGUAGAUAUUGGGAGGAACACCAGUGGCGAAGGCGGCUCACUGGACUGGUACUGACGCUGAGGCGCGAAAGCGUGGGGAGCAAACAGGAUUGAGAUACC
rnacentral:rRNA from 1 species